rnacentral:rRNA from 1 species
UACGUAGGGUGCAAGCGUUGUCCGGAAUUAUUGGGCGUAAAGAGCUCGUAGGCGGUCUGUCGCGUCGGCUGUGAAAACCCGGGGCUCAACCCCGGGCCUGCAGUCGAUACGGGCAGACUAGAGUGCGGUAGGGGAGACUGGAAUUCCUGGUGUAGCGGUGAAAUGCGCAGAUAUCAGGAGGAACACCGGUGGCGAAGGCGGCUCACUGGACCGGUACUGACGCUGAUGCGCGAAAGCGUGGGGAGCAAACGGG